GACGAACGCUGGCGGCGUGCCUAAUACAUGCAAGUCGAACGCAGUGGGGACGGGUGAUUAACACGUGGGUAACCUCCCAUCAGAGGGGAUAACACUUGGAAACAGGUGCUAAACCGAUAUUGAUUGAUGUCCCCGGGGGGCAUUAGAUAGUUGGUGAGGUAACGGCUCACCAAGGCCACGAUGAAUAGCCGGCCUGAGAGGGUGAUCGGCCACACUGGGACUGAGACACGGCCCAGACUCCUACGGGAGGCAGCAGUAGGGAAUCUUGGGCAAUGGGCGAAAGUCUGACGGAGCAACGCCGCGUGAGUGAAGAAGGUUUUCGGAUCGUAAAGCUCUGUUGGUAGGGAAGCGGUAUCUAACCAGAAAGCCACGGCUAACUACGUGCCAGCAGCCGCGGUAAUAC
rnacentral:rRNA from 1 species